ACGCACGCUGGCGGCAUGCCUCACACCUGCCAGUCGCACGAGACCUUCGGGUCUAGUGGCGCACGGGUGCGUAACGCGUGGGAACCUGCCCUUAGGUUCGGAAUAACUCCCCGAAAGGGGUGCUAAUACCGGAUAAUGUCUUCGGACCAAAGAUUUAUCGCCUUUGGAUGGGCCCGCGUUGGAUUAGCUAGUUGGUAGGGUAAAAGCCUACCAAGGCGACGAUCCAUAGCUGGUCUGAGAGGAUGAUCAGCCACACUGGGACUGAGACACGGCCCAGACUCCUACGGGAGGCAGCAGUGGGGAAUAUUGGACAAUGGGCGAAAGCCUGAUCCAGCAAUGCCGCGUGAGUGAUGAAGGCCUUAGGGUUGUAAAGCUCUUUUACCCGGGAUGAUAAUGACAGUACCGGGAGAAUAAGCGCCGGCUAACUCCGUG
rnacentral:rRNA from 1 species